AUUGAACGCUGGCGGUAUGCUUAACACAUGCAAGUCGAACGAUGAGAAAGAGCUUGCUCUUUCGAUUAGUGGCGGACGGGUGCGUAACGCGUAGGAAUCUACCUAUUAGUGGGGGACAACUUAGGGAAACUUAAGCUAAUACCGCAUACGCCCUACGGGGGAAAGAAGGGGAUCGCAAGACCUUUUGCUAAUAGAUGAGCCUGCGUAGGAUUAGCUAGUUGGAGGGGUAAAAGCUCACCAAGGCGACGAUCCUUAACUGGUUUGAGAGAAUGAUCCGUCACACUGGAACUAAGACACGGUCCAGACUCCUACGGGAGGCAGCAGUGGGGAAUAUUGGACAAUGGGCGAAAGCCUGAUCCAGCAAUACCGCGUGUGUGAAGAAGGCCUUAGGGUUGUAAAGCACUUUCAAUUGGAAGGAAAACCUCGAAGCUAAUACCUUCGAGUUUGACAUUACCUUUAGAAGAAGCACCGGCUAACUCCGUGCCAGCAGCCGCAGUAA
rnacentral:rRNA from 1 species